GUGGAUUAGAUACCCUGGUAGUCCACGCCGUAAACGAUGCUAACUCGUUUUUGGGUUUUCGGAUUCAGAGACUAAGCGAAAGUGAUAAGUUAGCCACCUGGGGAGUACGUUCGCAAGAAUGAAACUCAAAGGAAUUGACGGGGGCCCGCACAAGCGGUGGAUUAUGUGGUUUAAUUCGAUGAUACGCGAGGAACCUUACCAAGGCUUAAAUGGGAAUUGAUCGGUUUAGAAAUAGACCUUCCUUCGGGCAAUUUUCAAGGUGCUGCACGGCCGUCGCCAACU
rnacentral:rRNA from 1 species